CAGUCGCCGCGGUAAUACGAAGGGUGCAAGCGUUAAUCGGAAUUACUGGGCGUAAAGCGUGCGUAGGCGGUUUGUUAAGUCUGCUGUGAAAUCCCCGGGCUCAACCUGGGAAUGGCAGUGGAUACUGGCAAGCUAGAGUGUGUCAGAGGAUGGUGGAAUUCCCGGUGUAGCGGUGAAAUGCGUAGAGAUCGGGAGGAAUACCGGUGGCGAAGGCGGCCCCCUGGACAAAGACUGACGCUCAGGUGCGAAAGCGUGGGGAGCAAACAGGAUUAGAUACCCGUGUAGUCCCUGUCUCUUAUAC
rnacentral:rRNA from 1 species